CCUACGGGAGGCAGCAGGGAGGAAUAUUGGUCAAUGGGCGCGAGCCGGAACCAGCCAAGUAGCGUGAAGGAUGACUGCCCUACGGGUUGUAAACUUCUUUUAUAAAGGAAUAAAGUGAGGCACGUGUGCCUUUUUGUAUGUACGUUAUGAAUAAGGAUCGGCUAACUCCGUGCCAGCAGCCGCGGUAAUACGGAGGAUCCGAGCGUUAUCCGGAUUUAUUGGGGUUAAAGGGAGCGUAGAGGGGUUGUUAAGUCAGUUGUGAAAGUUUGCGGCUCAACCGUAAAAUUGCAAUUGAUACUGGCAGUCUUGCGUUCAGUUGAGGUCGUCGGCAUUCGUUGUGUAGCGG
rnacentral:rRNA from 1 species